rnacentral:tRNA from 1 species
UGAGGAUAUAGAUCAGUUGGUAGAGUGCUUGCCCUGCAUGCAUAAGUUCCUGGGUUCAAUCCCCAGCACCACAA